rnacentral:rRNA from 1 species
AGGGUUUGAUCAUGGCUCAGGAUGAACGCUGGCGGCGUGCUUAACACAUGCAAGUCGAACGAACCUUCGGGUUAGUGGCGGACGGGUGAGUAACGCGUGAGAAUCUGCCCUCAGGAGGGGGAUAACGGUUGGAAACGACCGCUAAUACCCCAUAUGCCUACUGGUGAAAUGAAUUUCGCCUGAGGAUGAGCUCGCGUCUGAUUAGCUAGUUGGUGAGGUAAUGGCUUACCAAGGCUUCGAUCAGUAGCUGGUCUGAGAGGAUGAUCAGCCACACUGGGACUGAGACACGGCCCAGACUCCUACGGGAGGCAGCAGUGGGGAAUUUUCCGCAAUGGGCGAAAGCCUGACGGAGCAACGCCGCGUGAGGGACGAAGGCCUCUGGGCUGUAAACCUCUUUUCUCAAGGAAGAAGAUAUGACGGUACUUGAGGAAUAAGCCACGGCUAAUUCCGUGCCAGCAGCCGCGGUAAUACGGGAGUGGCAAGCGUUAUCCGGAAUUAUUGGGCGUAAAGCGUCCGCAGGCGGCUUUUCAAGUCUGCUGUUAAAGCGUGGAGCUUAACUCCAUCAUGGCAGUGGAAACUGAAAGGCUUGAGUAUGGUAGGGGCAGAGGGAAUUCCCGGUGUAGCGGUGAAAUGCGUAGAUAUCGGGAAGAACACCAGUGGCGAAGGCGCUCUGCUGGGCCAUUACUGACGCUCAUGGACGAAAGCCAGGGGAGCGAAAGGGAUUAGAUACCCCCUGUAGUCCUGGCCGUAAACGAUGAACACUAGGUGUCGGGGGAAUCGACCCCUUCGGUGUCGUAGCUAACGCGUUAAGUGUUCCGCCUGGGGAGUACGCACGCAAGUGUGAAACUCAAAGGAAUUGACGGGGGCCCGCACAAGCGGUGGAGUAUGUGGUUUAAUUCGAUGCAACGCGAAGAACCUUACCAGGGUUUGACAUCCUGCGAACCUCUUAGAAAUUUGAGGGUGCCUUCGGGAAUGCAGUGACAGGUGGUGCAUGGCUGUCGUCAGCUCGUGUCGUGAGAUGUUGGGUUAAGUCCCGCAACGAGCGCAACCCACGUUUUUAGUUGCCAGCAUUUAGUUGGGCACUCUAGAAAGACCGCCGGUGAUAAACCGGAGGAAGGUGUGGAUGACGUCAAGUCAUCAUGCCCCUUACACCCUGGGCUACACACGUACUACAAUGCUACGGACAAAGGGCAGCAAACUCGCGAGAGCUAGCAAAUCCCAUAAACCGUGGCUCAGUUCAGAUCGUAGGCUGCAACUCGCCUACGUGAAGUAGGAAUCGCUAGUAAUCGCAGGUCAGCAUACUGCGGUGAAUACGUUCCCGGGCCUUGUACACACCGCCCGUCACACCAUGGAAGUUGGCCAUGCCCGAAGUCGUUACUCCAACCCUUGUGGAGGAGGACGCCGAAGGUGGGGCUAAUGACUGGGGUGAAGUCAUAACAAGGUAGCCGUA